rnacentral:snRNA from 1 species
AUACCUUUAUUGGCCUUUUGGCUAAGAUAAAGUGUAGUAUCUUUUCUUAUCAGUUUAAUAUAUGAUACAUGGUUCAUAGAACCACAUGGUAUUAAAUGUGUUUUUCUAGGGGGAGAUCCCAUUCAUCGGUAGCUUGUUGUCGAGGCUCUCAUUCGUAGCUUGUGCACUGCACUACAAAACAUGCUAGGUGCACCCC